AUGAACGCUAGCUACAGGCUUAACACAUGCAAGUCGAGGGGCAGCAUGGUCUUAGCUUGCUAAGGCCGAUGGCGACCGGCGCACGGGUGAGUAACACGUAUCCAACCUGCCGUCUACUCUUGGACAGCCUUCUGAAAGGAAGAUUAAUACAAGAUGGCAUCAUGAGUCCGCAUGUUCACAUGAUUAAAGGUAUUCCGGUAGACGAUGGGGAUGCGUUCCAUUAGAUAGUAGGCGGGGUAACGGCCCACCUAGUCUUCGAUGGAUAGGGGUUCUGAGAGGAAGGUCCCCCACAUUGGAACUGAGACACGGUCCAAACUCCUACAGGAGGCAGCAGUGAGGAAUAUUGGUCAAUGGGCGAGAGCCUGAACCAGCCAAGUAGCGUGAAGGAUGACUGCCCUAUGGGUUGUAAACUUCUUUUAUAAAGGAAUAAAGUCGGGUAUGUAUACCCGUUUGCAUGUACUUUAUGAAUAAGGAUCGGCUAACUCCGUGCCAGCAGCCGCGGUAAUACGGAGGAUCCGAGCGUUAUCCGGAUUUAUUGGGUUUAAAGGGAGCGUAGAUGGAUGUUUAAGUCAGUUGUGAAAGUUUGCGGCUCAACCGUAAAAUUGCAGUUGAUACUGGAUAUCUUGAGUGCAGUUGAGGCAGGCGGAAUUCGUGGUGUAGCGGUGAAAUGCUUAGAUAUCACGAAGAACUCCGAUUGCGAAGGCAGCCUGCUAAGCUGCAACUGACAUUGAGGCUCGAAAGUGUGGGUAUCAAACAGGAUUAGAUACCCUGGUAGUCCACACGGUAAACGAUGAAUACUCGCUGUUUGCGAUAUACUGCAAGCGGCCAAGCGAAAGCGUUAAGUAUUCCACCUGGGGAGUACGCCGGCAACGGUGAAACUCAAAGGAAUUGACGGGGGCCCGCACAAGCGGUGGAGUAUGUGGUUUAAUUCGACGCAACGCGAAGAACCUUACCAGGUCUUGACAUCCGACUAACGAGAUAGAGAUAUGUCAGGUGCCCUUCGGGGAAAGUCGAGACAGGUGGUGCAUGGUUGUCGUCAGCUCGUGCCGUGAGGUGUCGGCUUAAGUGCCAUAACGAGCGCAACCCUUGUUGUCAGUUACUAACAGGUUCCGCUGAGGACUCUGACAAGACUGCCAUCGUAAGAUGUGAGGAAGGUGGGGAUGACGUCAAAUCAGCACGGCCCUUACGUCCGGGGCUACACACGUGUUACAAUGGGGGGUACAGAGGGCCGCUACCACGCGAGUGGAUGCCAAUCCCCAAAACCUCUCUCAGUUCGGACUGGAGUCUGCAACCCGACUCCACGAAGCUGGAUUCGCUAGUAAUCGCGCAUCAGCCACGGCGCGGUGAAUACGUUCCCGGGCCUUGUACACACCGCCCGUCAAGCCAUGGGAGCCGGGGGUACCUGAAGUGCGUAACCGCGAGGAGCGCCCUAGGGUAAAACUGGUGACUGGGGCU
rnacentral:rRNA from 1 species